UUUUGAAUUUUAAAUUUUAAAUUUUGAAUUUCAAAUUUAAACUUAUAGAUUACACCUUAAUCUACGCAUGCAUAUGUAUAUCAUAUUCUAGAACCAUGCUCUGAUACCAUUUGAAGCGAAAAUUUAGUGCAGGGGCAAAAUGGUAAUUUUAAAACUUUUUCAAAAUUAUUAUUUUACAGCGAAAUUAUUAAUUAAUCUCAUUAAUUAAUACUAAUUAACCCUAUACUAGGAUCUAAAUAUGAUACAACAGCAUGCAUUUAAAUUUGAAAUUCAAAUUUGAAUCAGUAAACCUUUUACAGUACUGUGUUCAGAACACAUCAUCUUUUGC
rnacentral:lncRNA from 1 species